AGACCUGAAAUAGAUGACUUUGUUCAUCAACAUCAUCUGAAGCUUUCACCAAUUCACUCCACAUGCACACAAUUCAUGUGACUGUCAUUCCACAGGGAGGCUCAUGCACACUCGGCAUUUGCAGUGAAAUGAGGUGCGCUGCAGUCGACGGUGGGGUUUUGGUGAUGCGUUGUGCAUGCGACAGACUGACAUCCAGUGUGGUGAGAUGUGUGAGACAGAGCUCACAUGAUCUUCAUUCUGUGCUGUAUAGUAUGUCUCCAGUAGCCCCUGUUAAACCCAGGGGGAGGAGAGGAGGCGUCCAACGCUCUGCUCCUGCUCUUGUCCUCACCUGUGUAUACUCCCCACAGCCUGCUAGGCUGCUGAUGAAGCUGCACACCUCCUCCACACUCCACUUGCUGAUGUCCUCGGCUGCUCCCGCCUCUUCUCCGUCCACGAAAAGACCUCCCAUGGCGCCUGCGGGCCCGCCGGGCCAAGAGGAAGCAGAAAUCAUUAGAGACAGAAGGACCCUGUCCUCUUACACGCACGCUUGCGCCUACACACCACUCUGUUAUUGACCCUGCCUAUUACAGAGUUUAGUAAAGGUCAGCAGCAGGGCCCCUUCCUGGGGGAGGUCUCUCAGCUGGAGCAGGUAAUGUGUUUCAGAUGGUCGAGGUUGCUUUGCACUCAUUCAAGUUAGGUGGGGACCAACACUUCCGCUACUUGCCUUUAAUGCUUCUUUGAUGUUGAUAUCUAAAAGAUAUUGUUCAGGCUAUUCUUUUCCAUUCAACAAAAGUGGAUGAUGAUCAUGGCUGUCAAGCUCCAAAAUGUACCAGUGAAAGUACCUGUUUGUGAAAGUAACUUUGAGUAACAACCCCAACUAUAUGUUCCUGACUUCUUUUAUGGUACUUCAUAGUAUUUUUUUUCUUUAUAGAGCCUGACAGCUAUGAAUGCCAUACAUUUAUAGGGACAAGAAAAAUGUUAUGGUAAAUAAUUCAUUUUGUCAGUAAACAAGGACAUAAUUUUAGUUUUUGGGUGAACUGUUUUUUUAAGAAGUUGUGUUUGUGUGCAUAGCUGUCUUGUUUGCUUUCUGUCUCAUCCUAUCAGUGGUACGAUGAGACUUGUAUGUUGGUAUACUGGUGCAUUUUUGUGUGUGAGCCAAAAUCUUUUCUAUGGUGCAUGUUUAGUAUUGCUCGAACGCCUGAGGAAGGUUAGUUCAGCCUCUCUCUGAGCUGGUCACUUCCUCAUUAGGAGCCUCAUUUUCCAUUAAAACUUGCUCUGGGCUUGCUUGCACUCUGGGCUCAAUUUCUCAGUUUGUCUAACUGUCUCGCUCACUCUUUCUGUCUCUCUGAGGACAAGGAAUACUAUUUGAACUCCAGAUUUUACAGAUUGUUAAAGUUGAGGAGCAGGCAUAUGGUGUCACUAACACUAGUGCUGUGUAUGUUUGUUUUAAAUAAGGAGUGCAUUGGGUGAGUUGCUGAACUGGAAUUGGGGGAGUUUUGAAUAUGAAAAUUGUCUCUAAAUGUCUAAAAUACAGUAUCUCUCAUUGGAUGUGACUGGAUUUUGUAAUAUGGAUUGUAAACAGCUGAAAACUCACCAGUGUGAAAGUAAGGGCUGGUGUAUGGGAAGGUGAAGGGCAGUGUUUGUCCAGGCAAGGUGGGUAAGGGUGGGAUUCCUGGUGGCAGGUAUUUGACCUCACUCUUGCUCAGUCCUGAUGUGAAGAGGUGGUGGGUUGGUGACUCUUGGCCAAUGGAGCUACAAGGAGCACUGAGCCUUCCUGACCCCUCCCCCAGCUCUUUCACUGCUUCACUAGACUUGGUCACAUCCUUGCCUUGGCACACCUCUGAAGCGAGACCAUGUCCGUCAACUUUGGAAAGCCUCUCAGGCCUGUCUUCCCCAACCUCUGUAUCAUUCUCAAAGUCUUUCAUGUCUUCAUCUUGUCCCUCUGUUUCUCCGUCCCGUGCACAGCCCUCCCCGAGCAUCUCUUUAGUCUCAGAUGAACCCCCUUGUUGGUCCCCUCUGAGUGGUCCUCCUUUCCUCAAGCUCUUCCUGUUGCUAAGGUCUUUAGAGGAAGUGCCUGCUGCUGGCCCCUGGUGGUUGAGGGAGAGUAAUGGGGUGUUGUUGUGCCGCAAAACCAGCAUGGCGUUUCGGCGAUUGAGCUCUUCUCGGAGUGGGUGGCCCUCUGGGAUUUCUUGCAGGCUGCGCAAGGCAGGGUGUUCUGCAGGGAGCCCAGGAUGCAGGCCCAGUGGGUCCGCCAGCAGUCGCUGCCUGUGGAGGUUCUCUAGCUCCUUGUGUCUCAACAGUUCAGCAGACAUUUCCAACCUGGUGGAACAAGCCACGAUCAGAGAGACGCGCUGCAGCUCUGAAAUAAACAUUUCCUGAGGAAAGCUUGCAACUAUUAUAUAAUAAUAUGAAAUUCCAGACAGUAUUUGUGUGCACCAUCAAUUAACUCUUAUCUUUUGCUACAGUAAAAGCAGUUGCUCAAACAUCAAUUUUAAUAAGAGUCUGAGACACAUUUCUCUGUGCAGCUCUACAACAUUACCUAGCAAGGUUCUGUUUACGAAGAAUCUCCUGUUGACGGGCGAACAUCUCUGCCUGAGCAGGCUGCAGGAAACCAUAACCUACAAGACAAUGGCAAAAUAAGAAAAACAUCUAUCUCUGUACAAUAUACAUCACAGAUUAUACACAAUAUUCAACAUAGUGAUCAAUACAUUUGCUCCAAAUAAAUGAUGCUAAACCUU